rnacentral:rRNA from 1 species
GAAGAGUCCUACCCCUGAUGACCGUCAUCCGUGUGCCAUACAGAAAGAAGGGACAUAUGAACGCCGUUUAGGAAGGUGCAGUUAUUCUGAACUCCCAAACCGUCUUCUCUUCAGGUACGAACGCACCUCCGUAAGAGACAAAAUUUCCCCGACGUGGGCAAGUAGAUGACGUCUACACUGAAGACUAAACGGACCUAGUUGACCGCUGCAGCCUUAAAUGUUCGACGUCCAAAACCGGCUCGUCUCGACGACAAACAAAGUGAGGUACGAACGCUACCGACUACUAUGGUUCAAGUAGGAAAACAAAGAGGAGAAUUCGUCGAGUAGCGACACAAAACCAAGACUUGUUCUAUAGGUCACGGACUUCAGACAUAUAGUUAGUCACUAACUAGGGUUGCCACAUGAGUUUAGGAGAACCUUGAAACUUCUACCGUGGCAGCCAAAGUAUACGGCGAAAUGACCACACCUUACGACCGUGGGACUGUUCUUGUACCAAGAAAGAGACGCAGAGCCGUUGGAUCCUGAAGUUCCGUGUAAAGGAGUUCCAGAAGUUCUAACACGUUCGUACUGGCCGGAUCUGGACAGUUUAUUGUUUAAAAGUCCUGGUUAGGGAGUCCUGUAAAGUGCCGUCCACGGCAUGGACUGUAGAGACCUGGAAAGCAUGUUAUCAAAAAGCCCAAGCUAGGGUGUCUUAUAGAGUUUAUACUGUAUAGACUUACAGGAGUAGGAAGUCGUAUUGGUUGAGUCGCCAGUUUAAGGUGGCGUUAAGCUAAACGAAUGAGCCAAUAGCUGCAAGUUACAACACCUAUUGAACAAUAGCCCCAGAUAAGGAGGAAGCGAUGAUUCCAAAGGUCGAACCUUGAAACUACCAUUGGUUCCCGAAACGCCACGUGGUAGCCUACUAACAGGGGCGAGGUCCUCCUCUACCUCUGGCCAUGCUUAGUUCGACGUGUCCGAGUUGCUGCUCAGCUCGUAGCCUCGCCGGCAGCCUAAGCAGCACCCCAAACACCACCGGAAGAUGAAGGGCGUGACAAAGCAGACGAGGCUCUCCGAGGCACGGAUGCAGCAGGCGUAUACUAAGUGAACAACAAGACUUUGAAACAAACCGUAUGGACCGAGACUAUGGUUGAACAUUGUGGGUGCUACGCCGAUAUAGAGGGUGCACAGCCUCGUGCUGAAUCUCCGUAUUGGCGUAUCAUCCGUACAACGUUCUCCCCAUUAGAAAUGUGUAGGGUACAUGACUUAUUCUCUCCCUAUUUCUCAACAGAAUGUUAGCGGUGAAGUGUG